rnacentral:rRNA from 1 species
CCUACGGGGGCAGCAGUGGGGAAUAUUGGACAAUGGGCGAAAGCCUGAUCCAGCCAUGUCGCGUGUGUGAAGAAGGCCUUCGGGUUGUAAAGCACUUUCAGUGGGGAAGAAAGCCUUGGGGCUAAUACCCUCGAGGAAGGACAUCACCCACAGAAGAAGCACCGGCUAACUCCGUGCCAGCAGCCGCGGUAAUACGGAGGGUGCGAGCGUUAAUCGGAAUUACUGGGCGUAAAGCGCGCGUAGGCGGUCUGAUAAGCCGGUUGUGAAAGCCCCGGGCUCAACCUGGGAACGGCAUCCGGAACUGUCAGGCUAGAGUGCAGGAGAGGAAGGUAGAAUUCCCGGUGUAGCGGUGAAAUGCGUAGAGAUCGGGAGGAAUACCAGUGGCGAAGGCGGCCUUCUGGACUGACACUGACGCUGAGGUGCGAAAGCGUGGGUAGCAAACAGGAUUAGAUACCCGGGUAGUC